AUUGAACGCUGGCGGCAGGCCUAACACAUGCAAGUCGAGCGGCGCGGCGGCCGGGUGAGUAAUGCCUAGGAAUCUGCCUGGUAGUGGGGGAUAACGUCCGGAAACGGGCGCUAUUACCACAUACUUUCAGAUGCGCAUAUGUCCGUAUAGCUAUGUGGUGGGGUAAAGGCCUAACAUGGCGACGAUCCGUAACUGGUCUGAGAGGAUGAUCAGUCACACUGGAAAGGAGACACGGUCCAGGCGCCUACGGGAGGCAGCAGUGGGGAAUAUUGGACAAUGGGCGAAAGCCUGAUCCAGCCAUGCCGCGUGUGUGAAGAAGGUCUUCGGAUUGUAAAGCACUUUAAGGUGGGAGGCGUUACCAGCAGAAGAAGCACCGGCUAACUUCGUGCCAGCAGCCGCGGUAAUUC
rnacentral:rRNA from 1 species